CAAAUAAAAACGUGAUCAAUACCCCUCCCAGGUCAACUGAUUCUUUAAAAUUUGAAGAGAGGCAAUACCAAAACACUGUUACUGUACCAAUAACAAUAAUAGGAUGCUGAUGAAACCAACACCAGCAGAUAAUAUAGUUUUAUUGGUUUGUAUGACAUUG